rnacentral:lncRNA from 1 species
GCUUCGGCCGGCGUCGUUUGCCGACCCGUAAAUCCCUGGUACCUUAUUCUCUAAUCCUAGAUCAUUACGCAAAGACCUAAAAUUGAGCCCUAGUGUCAACUACCAGGUUGCUGUCGCCGCAUCUUCAUCUGAAUCUGGCGGGCUGCUGUCGUCUGGGAGCGGCGCUGCUCCGGCCCUGGAGCUGAUCGUCCUUGUCUGGACUCCGGCGAUUCAGCCGGCGCUGGCCGCACUCAUCUCUCCCCUCGUCUCAAUCCUGAAAUCAGUCGGCGCCGGC